AUGUUUGCCAUAAUUUAUAAAAUAAUUACUGUUCUGUUCUUUACAUGGACAUGGACUUAUAACAACAAAGCUUAUCUAGCAAAUACAUGGAAUGCAAGAUAUGGUAGAUUACUGGCUCAAUAUAUCUCUCUACCCGAGACAAAUGAUGAUUUGGGUAUAGCACAAUAUGAUGUCCUUAACAAAUUUUGUAAUUAUUGUGAACAAGAUGUGAUAAGUGAUGGUGAACAAAGUGUAAUUUUUAAUGAUAGCUCAUAUAAGAGUGAAUGGGAAAUUGAAAAAUAUAAAAAACAAAAAUCAAUUUAUUUAAACAAUGUUAAAAAUGAAUUAAUUACAUUAUUAACUAACCGAUAUGAAUCGCAAAUAAAAUAUAUACUACAAAAAAAUAAAAACCUACAAAAGAAAGAUUUAAUAGAAAUAUAUGAUCUUAUUAAACAUGUCGUUCCCAGUGAAGAAUAUUUAAAAAUUUUAAAUGAAACUUAUAAAUUAUUAAAACAAAAAAGUAAACACAAUAAUGAUAAUGCUGAAUUAUACCACAACACGAUAAUGCAUUUAAUGAAUACAUAUUUCUUUUUAAUUAACAAUGAAAAAAAAUUUAAAAAAAACUUAUUACAUUUAGAAACUAAUCACGGACAACCAAUAUUUAAAAAGGAUAAUAUCAAAUUCAAAAAAAAAUAUUUAAAUAUAUUUAAACUCAUAGGAAAAAUAAAUAAACAAGUUAAAACUAUGUUACUUAAACAAAUGAUACAAACAGAAAUAAAUCAGAAUGUAAAUUUUUUAUAUAAAUCAGAUUUUAAGUUAUUUACGUAUGCGCUUUUUAAUCCAUUAUUAAGUUCUGCAUUUAUUAUUGGAAUUGCAUUUUUGGGAUUUAGUUCCCUCACAUUUCCAUUAUUAAGUCUGCCUAUUUGCGCAAGUAUACACUCUAUAUAUAAAAUUAUAAAAACCAUGGAUUCCGUAGAUCAAAUUAUACAAGGGUCAGCACUAGCAAAAAAAAAAAGUUUUAUUUAAUAAUAAACACCAUAAACAAAUUAUAACA
rnacentral:lncRNA from 1 species